rnacentral:lncRNA from 1 species
UAGGACAUCUCUAGUAACUUGUAGGAGACCACCUGACUGAAACAUGCAGCUGGAGAUACAAUGAGAGUUAAUAGAAUCUGUAAGACGAUGCAGGCAAGCUUAUGUGAAAUUUUCAUUUCAAGCAACAGCUCAAAAAAUGGAGGAGCCAAGCUCUCUACAGAUUGUUCAGGAAGCAGUCAAGUCAUGUUGUGAAUACAGUACUAAACCCAGAGUGCAUCUCAGGCAAGGCUCCUUCCAUGGGUACUACUUCAUGAUGACUAUAGGUGGCAAGGAUACAUUCUACAUUUCAACGUUCUAAAAGAAAAAAAAUUAAAUGUGUUCAUUACAAAAGAAUGAUAAAUUUUGAAGGGCUGGUGUGGAAGAUCAGCUAGUAAAGUACUUGCUGAGCCAGCACAAUGACCCAAGGUCAAUGGAACUUGCAUGUAAAGGUAGAAGGAGAGAACCAACUCCAAAGAGUUAUGCUUUUAACUCCCCAUAACUGUGCUACAGGAAAUGUG